rnacentral:rRNA from 1 species
AGCAGCCGCGGUAAUUCCAGCUCCAAUAGCGUAUAUUAAAGUUGCUGCAGUUAAAAAGCUCGUAGUUGAAUUUCGGGAUCAAUUAAUUGGUCGUGCCUCUGGUACGUACUGAUUUUAUUGGUUUCUCCCUUCUGACGAACCAUGAUGUCAUUAAUUUGAUGUCGUGGAGAAUCAGGACUGUUACUUUAGAAAAAAUUAGAGUAGUUUAAAGCAAGCUAACGCUUGAAUACAUUAGCAUGGAAUAAUGAAAUAGGACGUUUGAUCCUAUUUUGUUGGUUUCUAGGAUCGACGUAAUGAUUAAUAGGGAUAGUUGGGGGCAUUAGUAUUCAAUUGUCAGAGGUGAAAUUCUUGGAUUUAUUGAAGACUAACUACUGCGAAAGCAUUUGCCAAGGAUGUUUUCAUUAAUCAAGACGAAAGUUAGGGGAUCGAAGACGAUCAGAUACCGUCGUAGUCUUAACCAUAAACUAUGCC